AGAAGUCGAUAAGACCAGGAGAAGUGAAGAUGUAACAUGUUAUCUGUCGCUCCUCUUAGCUGGCGGAGAGAAUUUACAUUUAAAGAUUAGCAGAGUGAGAAAGAGAAAUCUGCCUUUUGUUGUGUGGGGUGAGGAGGAGGCAUCUACCCCUGGCCUUGACGCUAUCUCCCAUCACCUCUGCUAUCCAGACAGGACUCACCGAGAAAAGAUUGAUCUCUGGGCUGGUGAACAUAAUCUCUGUCCCAGUCAGAAAAGGAGAGAGGAAAUUAGCAGAGCGAUUGGUGGAGAAUGAUAUCUGUCAAAAGAAACACUUGGAGAGCACUGAGUUUAGUAAUAGGUGACUGCCGGAAAAAAGGGAACUUUGAAUAUUGUCAAGAUAAACCCCACUUGAAAAACUGAGGUGCUUAAGGAGUAAAAUAAUAUGUUCCUGGUGGCAUCCUCCAGAUCGUACUGAGAAGCACUCCACAAUGCCAGACUCACCUGUGGAUGUGAAGACGCAAUCUAGGCUGACUCCUCCAACAAUGCCACCUCCCCCAACUACU
rnacentral:lncRNA from 1 species